rnacentral:rRNA from 1 species
CCUACGGGAGGCUGCAGUGGGGAAUAUUGCACAAUGGGGGAAACCCUGAUGCAGCAACGCCGCGUGGGGGAAGAAGUAUCUCGGUAUGUAAAGCCCUAUCAGCAGGGAAGAGAAUGACGGUACCUGACUAAGAAGCCCCGGCUAACUACGUGCCAGCAGCCGCGGAAUACGUAGGGGGCGAGCGGUAUACGGAGUUACUGGGUGUAAAGGGAGGGUAGACGGUUGUGCAAGUCUGCAGUGAAAGCCCGCGGCUCAAAUGCGGAACGGCUGGUGAAACUGGGUAACUGGAGUGCUGGAGAGGUAGGCGGAAUGCGUGGUGUAGCGGUGAAAUGCGUAGAGAUCAGGAGGAACACCGGCGGCGAAGGCGGCUUACUGGACAGUAACUGACGUUGAGGCUCGAAAGCGUGGGGAGCAAACAGGAUUAGAUACCCGUGUAGUC